GCAAUUGCUCAAUGAAAAUACUUAAAGGAGGCAACAUCCCAUAUAUUGGAAACACAAGUGCAUCUCUCACCUUAGUAACACCACAAGUGCGUCUCCAAAUGAAAUCUUAAAAAGGGCGACACAAAGAGAGAGUGAAAAGGAGGGAAGGAAGAAGAAAAGAGAGAGGAAAGAAUAUGAAGAAAUUAAAUAAAUAAAUAAUAAAAAAGAAG
rnacentral:lncRNA from 1 species